CCAAUGGGAAGCUGGGGCCCCUGGACCACGUGCUGGUGUCUGAGUGUCGGUCUGGGGUGUCCCGGGUGGUAAGGGGCGGGAGGGACUGGGGGCUGGUCUUCAGGUGGCCGAGGCUGAGUUUCGCCAAGAGUGCUCCCCACCCACGCCCGGGUCCUGAGACUGGCACAGAGCAGGGUGACAGCACACAUGUGUGAAUCUCACCGUCGCCAGGUUUGGCUUGUAACCGAGAGUUCUCAGGCAGGAGGAGGUCCAAGAAACGCAGACACGAACGCACCUCAUGCAGACCAGGACGCUGAGUUCCCAGGACAGAUGCAUCCCUCACGUCUUACGACUCUGUCCCCUGGGGAUGGACAUCAGGCAGCCUCCAGCUCCCAGCCACUGCAGCCUUGGACAUGUCCCUUCAGAGACCUGUGUGGAAAUCUCCCUAGGAGAGAGACCUGGUUGCAGAGAUGCUGGAUCACAGGGCACAGUCCGUUGCUGUGUGGCGUCCUGGACUAGCUGCCCCCAGCCACACCUUCUGUCAGUGCAGAGGGUCCCAUGUACCCACAUCUCCGCCAGCUGUUAGCUUUAUCCAGCUUCUGAUUUUUACCACUCUGACUCGAUGUCAAGUGACGUCACCAUUGCUGUCUUUCACAUUUCUCUGAUUUCAGGUCACUUUGAGCAUCUCCUCAUUUGCUUGAUCGCCUUCAGUUUCUCCUCUUUUGUAAAUUGCCUGUUCAUAUUCUUUGCCCUGUUUGCACUUGGGUUGCUGUCUUUUACUCGUUGAUUUGCAUGUGCUCCUCCUAGAAUCUAGCUGUGCCCUGUCCCAUCCGAUCUGUCCUACACGAAAUCUCUGCUCUCCACAUGUAGGUAUGAGCACUUGAAAUACGGCAAAUACAAAUUGCGAUGUGCCGUAAGUGUAAAAUACACACCAGAUUUCGGAAACUUAGUACAAAGAAAAGAUGUAAAAAGAUGUAAAAGAUGUAAAAUAUCUCAUUAACUCAUUUUUAUUCUGUCUACGUUAUAAUAAUAAUAAUAAUGUGGAUGUAUUGGGCUGCAUAAAAUGUACUACUCAAAUUA